AAAAAAUUAGUUAAUUUAAUAAUAUUAAUUUGUCAAAUUAAAGUAAUCAAACUUUUGAUAUUUUUUA
rnacentral:tRNA from 1 species